CAAUGCCAAAGUGGGCUUUUGGAUGGCGGUAAGCUGUCGUAAAAAACAUCAAAAGCAAGCGUUUCAAGCGCCAUGAGACUUUGAUUGGUCGAUAUCGAUAUAUAGUGAUUUAUGGUUUUAUUUUAUUAGUGUUUAUUAAAUACUAAGAGAUUUUUUCUAAUUCAAAUGUCGACUUUUUGUUACAUGAAAAAAGAUACUUAUUUCAACCCCUCGACUAUAUUGAUACACUUAGUAUGUGGAGUUACUUGUCAAUAGCUGGCGAUGAAACUUUUAAACGUAACGUCUUUAAGGGCUGAGAAGGUAAAAAUUAGAAGUCUGCAGACUGCAACGUAAAUCGAUUUCAACACGUUAUGGCUUCUCGAAUAUAUUUAGUUUCCGAUUGAAAUGAGAAUAAACUAAACUUAUAUAUAAAGUGU